UACAGAGGGUGCAAGCGUUAAUCGGAAUUACUGGGCGUAAAGGGCGCGUAGGCGGAUAGGCAAGUGAGAUGUGAAAUACCCGGGCUUAACCUGGGAACUGCAUCUUAAACUGCGUAUCUGGAGUACUGUAGAGGACAGUGGAAUUUCCGGUGUAGCGGUGAAAUGCGUAGAUAUCAGGAGGAACACCGGUGGUGUAGACGGCUUUCUGGACCGUAACUGACGCUGAGACACGAAAGCGUGGGUAGCAAACAGG
rnacentral:rRNA from 1 species